rnacentral:rRNA from 1 species
UCGAGAAUCAUUCGCAAUGGGCGAAAGCCUGACGAUGCGACGCCGUGUGAGUGAUGAAGGCCUUCGGGUCGUAAAACUCUUUCGCCUGGGAACAAGAGAGGUUGGCUAACAUCCAACUAAUUUGAGGGUACCAGGAGAAGAAGCACCGGCUAACUCCGUGCCAGCAGCUGCGGUAAUACGGAGGGUGCGAGCAUUAAUCGGAUUUAUUGGGCGUAAAGGGCGCGUAGGCGGGAAGAUAAGUCAGAUGUGAAAUCCCGGGGCUCAACCCCGGAACAGCAUUUGAAACUGUCUUUCUUGAGGGUAGGCGGAGAAAAUGGAAUUCCACAAGUAGCGGUGAAAUGCGUAGAUAUGUGGAAGAACACCAGUGGCGAAGGCGAUUUUCUAGCUUAUUCCUGACGCUAAAGCGCGAAAGCAAGGGGAUCAAACAG